GCCUCCGUAGCUCUAGAAGGGAAGAGCGCCGUAAAACACUGUAGGAACGGGUCGCAAGGCAAGGGUUUCAGAAGCACCGAAAAGCAAAUAGCUGAGACAGGUGGAAUUCCUGUCGGUGAAAGUCCGUAGGGAAGCGUGUUCUCCCCUAGCCUAUGCUUACGGAAGGAGUGCGGGUUCGAAUCCCGCCGGAGGCA
rnacentral:tRNA from 1 species